AUUUGAAAAAUUCCGGGUGUGUCAAGAGAUUGGUAAGAAAGAGAAGAGCUGGUCUGAGCACAUUUCCGUUUGCUUUGAAUAAAGUUAAUAAACCGAAAAACUGUUUUCGCAACUUGGGGAACCUUUUUCUACCUAACAUACAUCAGAUAAAAGGUUUUAAGAUACCAUGCCAUCUCCAUUGAGAACUGGGCAUUUUAAAGUAAAGUUAGCUAUAUAGCGCAUUCUCGAUCUAAUUCGUCUAUUUCACGUACUCACAGAUAAUAUUGUCAGGCAAAAGCGCCACAGUGGCGCGAUAUUAGAUCAGAAGACAAAGGUGCUCUGAAUAAAAUACAAUUGGUAAAACUCGUCGCCAUGGGAGGAGGUUCAAGUCAUGACUGGGAGAGGGAACAAGAAGAACGAAAACAGAAAGAACGACGGGAACAAAGACAACACGAAAUAAAAAUAAAAGAACAAAAUAAUCAGAGAGAAGUCAAAGUUUUAGAAGAAAAUCAUCGCCAUAAAGAAGUGAUGUUUGAAAAAAAGGGAGAUUUGGCAGUAAAAAUGUAUCACGCUCAAAUUGAUGCGCAUAUGAAGCUUGGAUUUGAUAAAGAAACUGCGAUAAGGAAUUCAAAACUGCCCGCUAUACAAUAUUAGGAUCGCUGCUUCGAAAAAGAAACAAAAGAAUAUUUGAAAGACGGGAUAUACACAUUUGAAUAUUCAGUAUACUGUGAAUUGGUUCGUUUUAUUAGGAGUAUGUAUAUAUACCCUAAUAAAUAUAUGUAUAUAUUUUAAAAAAUUUCCGAGUAUGAAUCAUGAAAAAGUUUAUUAUUUUUUUUUUCGUUUGCAAUUCGUUUGCUUAUAUUUGUUUAAUUAUUUCUCGGUACCACGGACUGGUAAUGAGCAUGGACAGCAAGUUGUUUGUCAAAUAGGAAUGCACGAACUUUUGGACAUCACAACCGCUAUUCUAGAAUUAGUAAAAUUCUAAUUCUAAUCCAAUGUCCACCAUAUCACCCAUCAAGAUGUUAUAUAUGGCGUACCGAGCUCGAUAAAUUGUGAUCCUUUCUAAAAUUAAUUUCUCGUGAUCUAGUAUGUAAAUUAGAUACUUUUGGAAAGCCCAAUCAUACGAUAACGGCGCGACCACCACACCACGUUGUAAUAGUUCCUAUAUGAGAAGGUUAUCACAAUAAAAUACUAUGAUUGAUUUCGUUUUGUAAAUUCAACGAUUCAAAUUAUAUUCAAAUAGGAAUGUAUUUAUAAUCCAUCGAUUGAGUUGUCGGUUUAGGUGGAUUGUUCACAUCAGUGUUUUUUAACCUUUUAUCCCUUUCGCAACUUUUUUGAAAUUACAACCGCUAUUCUAGAAUUGUUUAAAAUAUGUUAGUGAAUCUAACACUAAAAUACAUUAGCAAAUAAAUAUGAAAUUACAUGAGUAUUUGCUGUUUCUCAGUCAAAGCAUGCUGACGCCUAGUUACGUUUCUGUCGUUUCCACUUUGCUAUGUCGUUAAUGGCAUUGUAUAUUUUUUAACUAAGCUUGAAUAACAACAUCAUUCUCGAAUAGCAAAUGAACAGUUCUCGAAAUUGUUAGUGGUAUGUGCAUUACUGGUCAUGAAACUAUUGUUUAAAGUUUGAUACAGAAUUGUAUACGUCGGUCCGCACUCUAUUGUCUACUUUAACCAUUGUUAAAAUAGAUCAAGUAAUAUGAUGGGAUGAAAGGGUUUACGAACAUACCUUAGUGGUCCUUGUGGCGUCAACGUAAGCCCGAGCUAAACUUUACAGUUACAUAUAAACAAUAAAACUGAAUGUAAAUAUCAUUUAUGGUGAUCGGAAGAUUUUACUCGGUGUAGCGUAAUAGAUUUUCCAGUGAUUUGGUUUUGAUUAUAGCUGCUAGUAUCCCUAAUACAGCUUCAAAGUAAGUUGUAUUGUUGAUAUAAAUUCUAGCUACCGUAUAUAGAAAAAUUCGAUUCCGAACCACGACUUCACGUCC